ACGGACUCCUACGGGAGGCAGCAGUAGGGAAUAUUGGACAAUGGGCGAAAGCCUGAUCCAGCAAUGCCGCGUGAGUGAUGAAGGCCUUAGGGUUGUAAAGCUCUUUUACCCGGGAUGAUAAUGACAGUACCGGGAGAAUAAGCUCCGGCUAACUCCGUGCCAGCAGCCGCGGUAAU
rnacentral:rRNA from 1 species